AUUGAACGCUGGCGGCAGGCCUAACACAUGCAAGUCGAGCGAGCGGCGGACGGGUGAGUAACGUCUGGGCAACUGCCUGAUGGAGGGGGAUAACUACUGGAAACGGUAGCUACUACCGCAUACCCUCAGAUGUGCCCAGAUGGGAUUAGCUAGUAGAUGGGGUAAUGGCUCACCUAGGCGACGAUCACUAGCUGGUCUGAGAGGAUGACCAGCCAGACGGGAACUGUGACACGGUCCAGACUCCUACGGGAGGCAGCAGUGGGGAAUAUUGCACAAUGGAGUCAAGCCUGAUGCAGCAAUGCCGCGAGUAUGAAGAAGGCAUUCGGGUUGUAAAGUGCUUGCAGCGGGAAGGCGUUACCCGCAGAAGAAGCACCGGCUAACUACGUGCCAGCAGCCGCGGUAAUUC
rnacentral:rRNA from 1 species